GACGAACGCUGGCGGCGUGCUUAACACAUGCAAGUCGAACGGAGUGGCGAACGGGUGAGUAACACGUGGGUGACCAGCCCUGCACUUCGGGAUAAGCCCGGGAAACUGGGUCUAAUACCGGAUAGUGUGGGAUGGGCCCGCGGCCUAUCAGCUUGUUGGUGGGGUAAUGGCCGACCAAGGCGGCGCCGGGUAGCCGGCCUGAGAGGGUGGACGGCCCCAUUGGGACUGAGGCACGGACCAGACUCCUACGGGGGGCAGCCGUGGGGAAUAUUACACAGUGGGCGGAAGCCUGAUGCGGCGACGCCGCGUGGGGGAUGACGGCCUUCGGGUUGUGAACACCUUUCACCAUCGACGCGGUAGAUGGAGAAGAAGCACCGGCUAACUACGUGCCAGCAGCCGCGGUAAUUC
rnacentral:rRNA from 1 species